AGUGAACGCUGGCGGUAGGCCUAACACAUGCAAGUCGAACGGCAGCACAGUAAGAGCUUGCUCUUACGGGUUGCGAGUGGCGGACGUGUGAGGAAUACAUCGGGAUCUACUUUUUGGGGUGGGUUAACGUAGGUAAGCUUACGCUAGGACCGCAGACGACCUACGGUGGAAAGCAGGGGAUAUUCGGACCUUGCGCGAUUGAAUGAGCGGAUGUCGGGUUAGCUGGUUGGGGGGGUAACGGCCAACCAAGUCGACGAUCCGUAGCUGGUCUGAGAGGAUGGUCACCGACCCUAGAAGGGGGACACGGUCCAUGCUCCUGCGGGAGGGAGCAGUGGGGAAUAUUGGACAAUGGGCGCAAACCUUAUCCAGCCAGACCGCGUGUGUUACGACAGCCUUCGGGUUGUAAAGCCCUUCUGUUGGGAAAGAACCGCAGCAGGUUAAUACCCCGCUGUUCUGACGGUACCCAAAGAAUAAGCACCGGCUAACUUCGUG
rnacentral:rRNA from 1 species